rnacentral:rRNA from 1 species
AUUGAACGCUGGCGGCAUGCCUUACACAUGCAAGUCGAACGGCAGCACGGGAGCAAUCCUGGUGGCGAGUGGCGAACGGGUGAGUAAUAUAUCGGAACGUGCCCAGUCGUGGGGGAUAACGUAGCGAAAGCUACGCUAAUACCGCAUACGAUCUAUGGAUGAAAGCGGGGGAUCGCAAGACCUCGCGCGAUUGGAGCGGCCGAUAUCAGAUUAGGUAGUUGGUGAGGUAAAAGCUCACCAAGCCGACGAUCUGUAGCUGGUCUGAGAGGACGACCAGCCACACUGGGACUGAGACACGGCCCAGACUCCUACGUGAGGCAGCAGUGGGGAAUUUUGGACAAUGGGCGCAAGCCUGAUCCAGCAAUGCCGCGUGCAGGAUGAAGGCCUUCGGGUUGUAAACUGCUUUUGUACGGAACGAAACGGUGAGCUCUAAUACAGUUUGCUAAUGACGGUACCGUAAGAAUAAGCACCGACUAACUACGUGCCAGCAGCCGCGGUAA